rnacentral:miRNA from 1 species
AUCUCGUUCCCAGAGUAUGCCUGUUCGCGGGUUAGGUUCAUGCCACAACCUAACCCGCGAACAGGCAUACUCUGGGAACGAGAUUGGCAU